AACGGAUUACCUAAUUCACGUGUUGCAAAGGGUUAUCAGUUGUACGUAUGAUACUUUUUUCAAUGUGUGAAUUUUAUUUUUUCACGAGAAUAAAAGAAACAUGUUAAUCUAAUUUUCUGGAGGUUUUUCCAAAUGCAAACAGGUACAGUUAAAUGGUUCAACGCUGACAAAGGUUUCGGCUUCAUCGAAGUUGAAGGCGGCAGCGACGUAUUCGUUCACUUCUCCGCUAUCACUGGCGACGGCUUCAAAACUCUCGACGAAGGCCAAAAAGUUGAAUUCAACAUUGUUGAUGGCGCUCGUGGCCCGCAAGCUGAGAACGUUGUAAAGCUGUAAGCUAACAACUUCAAACUGCCCUUAACUUGGUUAGGGGCAGUUUUU
rnacentral:sRNA from 1 species